rnacentral:rRNA from 1 species
GCAAGUCGAACGGAUCCUUCGGGAUUAGUGGCGGACGGGUGAGUAACACGUGGGAACGUGCCCUUUGGUUCGGAACAACUCAGGGAAACUUGAGCUAAUACCGGGAUGUGCCCUUCGGGGGAAAGAUUUAUCGCCAUUGGAGCGGCCCGCGUCUGAUUAGCUAGUUGGUGGGGUAAAGGCCCACCAAGGCGACGAUCAGUAGCUGGUCUGAGAGGAUGAUCAGCCACAUUGGGACUGAGACACGGCCCAAACUCCUACGGGAGGCAGCAGUGGGGAAUCUUGCGCAAUGGGCGAAAGCCUGACGCAGCCAUGCCGCGUGAAUGAUGAAGGUCUUAGGAUUGUAAAAUUCUUUCACCGGGGACGAUAAUGACGGUACCCGGAGAAGAAGCCCCGGCUAACUUCGUGCCAGCAGCCGCGGUAAUACGAAGGGGGCUAGCGUUGCUCGGAAUUACUGGGCGUAAAGGGAGCGUAGGCGGACUGUUAAGUUAGAGGUGAAAGCCCAGGGCUCAACCUUGGAAUUGCCUUUGAUACUGGCAGUCUUGAGUACGGAAGAGGUAUGUGGAACUCCGAGUGUAGAGGUGAAAUUCGUAGAUAUUCGGAAGAACACCAGUGGCGAAGGCGACAUACUGGUCCGUUACUGACGCUGAGGCUCGAAAGCGUGGGGAGCAAACAGGGUUAGAUACCCUGGUAGUCCACGCCGUAAACGAUGAGUGCUAGUUGUCGGCAUGCAUGCAUGUCGGUGACGCAGCUAACGCAUUAAGCACUCCGCCUGGGGAGUACGGUCGCAAGAUUAAAACUCAAAGGAAUUGACGGGGGCCCGCACAAGCGGUGGAGCAUGUGGUUUAAU